AUGUGAAUAAGUAGAUGCUCCAUCGGAUUGAAGAAUCCAGAUCACACAUGGUGGCCAUACAUGCUACACUACGACCGACAUCCCUAAGGCUUUGUUCGGCUUUGAAGGGGAUUGAGAGGGAUUAGAGGGGAUUUAAUCCUCUCCUAUUCAAAAUAUCCACCAAUCCCUUUCGAUCCUGCGCAACCGAACAGGCCCUAAAUUAGCACAUAGGGGUUCUAUACGUGUGUGCAACCACACAUUACAUACAUGUGGUUGUAAGCAUGUUUGUAUAAGGACUUCAUGGUAUGUAGACCAAAUAUAUUUUUAUUUUUUAUUAUAAAUGACCUAGUUACAAUCUAUGUAUAGCAGGAACUGUUCAUGUAUACAUAUACUUCAGAUAUAUACUCCAUUAACAUUUUUA